AUUAGAAAAAAAAUGGGGCUCAAACCGGAGAAGCUUCAAAAAAUCUGGAUAUAGUGAGAAACCAGAGCUGAAAUUUGCAGUUGAUGAAACGCAAUGAAGUGUCUGAGUCUAUCGCCGCUUCUCUCACCACCUUCUUUGAGCUUCUCUUCUUCCAUCAAGACCCCAUUUCUGGUGGCUCUCACCUCCACGCCCUCAAAAACACAUACUCCCAAACGCUCCUCGAAAUCCGCUAAAACUCUCUUUCCAACCACCACCACCUCUCUUCCUCCCAAAAAGGUUCUGGUGCCUAUUGGAUAUGGAACGGAGGAAAUGGAAGCGGUUAUUCUAGUCGACGUUCUGCGGCGAGCUGGUGCGAACGUGGUUGUGGCGUCGGUGGAACCCCAGCUCGAGAUUGAGGCUUCUAGCGGCACCAGACUGGUUGCUGAUACCUCCAUCUCAACAUGCUCUGAUGAAAUUUUUGAUCUCAUAGCUUUGCCGGGAGGAAUGCCGGGCUCUGCACGAUUGAGGGAUAGUGAAAUUCUCCGGAAAAUUACUAGCAAACACGCUGAGGAAAAAAGGCUGUAUGGUGCUAUAUGUGCUGCUCCAGCCAUUACACUUCAACCAUGGGGCCUUCUGAGAAGAAAACAGAUGACUUGUCACCCAGCAUUCAUGGACAAGCUUCCAACCUUCAGGGCUGUUAAAUCAAAUCUACAAGUUUCUGGGGAGCUCACAACAAGCAGAGGCCCCGGAACUGCUUUUGAGUUUGCUUUAGCAUUAGUUGAUCAACUUUUUGGAGAGUCUGUAGCCAAGGAGGUUGGAGAAUUGUUGCUGAUGCGUACUGCUGAGGACAAUCAUAAAAAGGAAGAGUUUAAUGAAGUUGAAUGGUCAGUUGAUCAUAGUCCUCAUGUUCUUGUCCCAGUUGCAAAUGGUUCUGAAGAAAUUGAAGUGGUUACAGUUGUAGAUAUUCUACGGCGAGCAAAGGUGGAUGUUGUGGUUGCUUCAGUUGAGAAAUCUUUGCAGAUUUUAGCAUCUCGAGGCAUUAAACUUAUAGCUGACAAGUCAAUUGAUAAUGCUGCUGAAUCAAUUUAUGACUUGAUCAUUCUUCCGGGGGGGAUUGCUGGUGCUGAGCGGCUGCACAAAUCCAAGGUUCUGAAGAAGAUGCUCAAAGAACAAGGAUCAGCAGGAAGAAUAUAUGGAGCAAUCUGCUCCUCGCCAACAGUCUUACAUAGACAAGGGUUACUCAAGGGUAAAAGAGCCACCGCUCAUCCCUCUGUAGCUAGCAAGCUCACCAAUGAAGUAGUGGAGGGAGCUAGGGUAGUUAUUGACGGCAAGCUGAUUACAAGCAGGGGGCUUGCAACUGCAAUAGAAUUUGCAUUGGCAAUUGUUAGCAAGCUUUUUAGUCAUGCAAGAGCAAGGAGUGUAGCUGAAGGUCUUGUUUUUGAGUACCCUAAGAGCUAGAGAGACAGUGUCUGGCACUUAUGGUUGGAGUUACCCUGCACCAAUUCAAGUCAGUGGUUGAAAUGAGUCAAUUUCUUGCCAGCUGCUUGGGCUUGAAAUGAGAAUUGGGUUUUUGUAAUCAACAUCUCAGGAUUGUAUUUUGUGCUAGUACUGAUUUCUGUAAAGGUCUCAAGUAUCACAAGCUCCAUAACUGACUCAGAUUUUUCUUUGGACUGCUGCAGUUUGGGAUUCUUGCUUGAGCCUUCCUUCGUGUUGAAUGCUAAGGGGUAAACACUACGAAUAGAAUUAUUUUCACAGAGAAGUAGAACUGAUGACUAGAAGAAUGCUGGUGCUGAAUUCUUGUAGAAUCCUGGUUGGGAUCUUCUAGUUUGUUUUCCUAGCCACUAAUUAAUUGGGAUAGCAGGAUGAAAAGAUCCCUUUGGCAUUUACCUUUAUUUAUAGACUAAUUUAAACAAUUUUAUA